GCCGGGCACGUUGGCGCACGCCUGUAAUCCCAGCGGCUCGGGAGGCUGAGGCAGGAGGAUCCUGAGUUCAAAGUCAGCCUCAGCAAAAGUGAGGCACUAAGCAACUGAGUGAGACCCUGUCUCUA
rnacentral:sRNA from 1 species